GCGCCAAACCUCCCAUAAAAUGUGAUGAGAACAGGACUGGGCCUCAGAAUCUUCAUUCCAUUCUCCAUGAUGGCAAUUAAAAUAACAUUAAAAUUAGAAACAGAAUUAGCAGGUGCCAGACUCUUCUUGUUAUCUUCCAUCUUCUGUGUUUGGUAAGAUGUUUUUCUGAUAGUGGUUGCAUUCACUGAGUUCAUAUAUACAAAAUAUGAAUGCUUCAGGCUUUCCAUAGUGUGGAGCACAUGUUAAGAAAAAUUGAGGACUCUCUCAUGUACAGUCUGCCUUUCCAUUUGUAAUUGCAAAGCACUCCCAUGGCAAAACCAGUGCUGCAUAGAUGGCUAAACACUAUUUGUGUCCUUUUUACCUUUAUUUGGUGUGAAGCAUAUAAUCUUUUUCUGAAAUGUUAAUGACUGACAAGUUAUUCCCUUUUUCAGCCCCACCCUGCACUUCAGAUAAUUCUGCCCUUUGGGAAAACACUGAUAUCAAGCACACUUCCUUCAGAAAUGAAGUUGGAUCUGUACAAGUCAUAAAAUCAGGCACGUACUUAUGCAGCAGCGCCAACAGCCAGCAUCAAACAUCAGUGAGCAAAGCCAUGGGCUCUCAAGUGCGUGGUCUUGAAGACCAAGUAGGUCUCUGGUAAGUCUUGCAGAACCAGGGGGAGGGGAUGAAGGGGGAAUUCUGCUGUAUUUACUCACAUUUAGAUCACCAUACAGGGACAGAAGUGCCAAGGGGAGGGACAGGAGGAGCAGUUCUUUCCCCUACAUUCUGUGAAACAGAACAGACAUGAACUGAAGUGACCCUUAACUGCUGCUGAGGUCUCAGCUCACCAUCCAGUGAAUCCACUUUGUCAAUACAACCUUCUCCUAUCUGCAGUCACUGCUUUACAAAUUAACCUCACUGUCAUAGGGACUGGUGGGGGAGGGCUUAUUUUCUCCAGUGAUGAACAGCUGAUGUUUGCCUGUUUCAGAUCCCUGCGCUAGCAAAUAUUGCUCAAGUGCUGAAUUCCUAAGCAAGGUGAAAAAUGCAUUAUUUAAAACGUGAUUGUGUUCCUGCAUUGCACAAUAUUAAUGUUGCUAAAGCUACUUAAUGCUUACACAUCUAAUGCAUUUAUAUAGCAAUUUGACACAUUUUAACUGAACUUUUUAAUAAUUGUUUCUAGUCAUUCAUGAAUUUGGCAAAUUUGGACCAAAUGUUUCAUUGGUUUCCAUGUGCAUAUAUCAUUGGUUGCCCAUUCAGCCUCCUCUUCUGCAUGACUAAAAAUUUCAGCUUUUUAUGAAGAUCUGCUCUUCAUUUGGUCUCU
rnacentral:lncRNA from 1 species